GCUGAAGUAGCUCAUCUGGGAGAGCAUUAGACUGAAGAUCUUAAAGGCCCCUGGUUCAAGCCCAGGCUUCAGCA